rnacentral:tRNA from 1 species
GCCAGUGUCCACAUCGGUAGUGUCUGCUUCCCAAGCAGAGUAUCGUGCGUUCGAGCCCAAUCGCCCGCUCCA